rnacentral:misc_RNA from 1 species
UCCCAAAAUCUUCAUUUGAUUGUCAAAAGUUUCCUAGCUUGAGUUCCUAUUCUCAUACAUCCACACAAGCUAGACUUUACUUUUUUGAUAAAGCCAAAAACAUUUUUUUCAUCAAGUAUCUCAUGAUGACCACUGUCCAUUCACCAUCCUUCAAGGACUUAACUGUCUAGUCUUUGCUUACUCAAUCACUGCUAUACAUCUGAUCACAAUCAAAGUAAAGUAUAAUGCAGAUAUGAGAGUGACUGCUCUGGUUGUACAAUACUAGGUUGGAAGGCUCCUGAGUUAUCCCUUUCCUCAUCAUUUGACCACAUGAAGAAAUGUGUAUUGCAUGUCUGCCAUCUUAGAGUAAGAAUAUACUUUUUUUUUAGUAUUUUUACUGAUGCAUCUUGCAUGUUGAACCCAGACGCUUGCUUGUUUCUAUUCAAUUCCAACUUUUAAUAGGAGGAUUAAUUAAAAGCAUGUAAAUCCAGGGAUAAGAUGUAUUAAUCUGGCAGUCCAAGAACUGAACUGAAAUGGCCUUUACAAUAUCUCAUUUUUUAAAUAAGUAGAUAACACUGAAUUGAACCGACACCAAAAAAACAAACUGGAGUCUCAUUUACUGCAUUUUACUUUUAUUUAAUCAGAAACUUUUUGAAUGCAUAGUGUAUUUAUAUCACCUUGAAAAUAAUAUAAAGCUUUAGACCUAUUCUUAAACUCAUACUUUUGGUUUAGAUUGUUGUAGUUGGCAUGCAAUUUUCAUGACUGUUAUGCUCUUGUUGUGCAUGUCCUUACUUAUAGAAGCUUGUGCAAUCAACCCAACUGAGCCUUAAUCCCUAACUAUUUGGGUCUUAGCGGCUUGUGUAGUUGGAUUGAUAAGUUUUGUAGUUUCCCUUCUUAGCAGGGCUCCACUUGCACCUUCAGGAUAAGCAAUGCCAUAUUUAGAAAUUCAGUUUUAUCCUGCACUUGUUUCAGUAUUUGUAUAAUCUGUGGUGUAAUCCUCACUCAUUCCUUUGCUUCAGCUACAACAUUAACUGGAACUAUGG